rnacentral:rRNA from 1 species
UACGUAGGGGGCAAGCGUUGUCCGGAAUCAUUGGGCGUAAAGCGCGUGUAGGCGGUUCAGUAAGUCUGCUGUGAAAGUCCAGGGCUCAACCCUGGGAUGCCGGUCGAUACUGCCGGACUAGAGUUCGGAAGAGGCGAGUGGAAUUCCCGGUGUAGCGGUGAAAUGCGCAGAUAUCGGGAGGAACACCAAUGGCGAAGGCAGCUCGCUGGGACGUUACUGACGCUGAGACGCGAAGGCGUGGGGAGCAAACAGG